AAAGAGCACAGACUUAUUCAGUGGGAACUAAAGAGAGAGGGAGACUCAGUCAGUGCGAGAGAAAGAAAGAAAGAGAGGGGGAGUCAGUUAGUGCGAGAGAAAGAGAGAGGGGGAGUCAGUUAGUGCGAGAGAAAGACUUUGUUAGGAGAGAGGGCUCAUUCGGAAUUGGCAAGAGGUAAAAACUCUUAAGUUUGUAUCCCAUAUAAUAUACAACCAAACUUCAAUUUUACGCUCACUUAUCGUGGAUGUGGGCUACAUAUCACCCUCGGAUUUAGCUACAAGAGUAACGUUUCUGCCGUCUCAUUUUUCUCGUCUUUAUUUUGUGUCAUGUGGCAGAACUGUGGAAGCUACAGAGGACAAUAGCGAUUCCACAGGAUUUGAAACAUUUGUUCUAUAUCUUAAUACAGAAGUGCGAAGAUGUCUGGGCAAAGCAUUACGGACAGGAUAACCGCAGCUCAACACAGUGUUACCGGAUCUGCGGUGGCAAAAACUGUGUGCAAGGCGACUACGCAUGAAAUUAUGGGGCCGAAAAAGAAACAUUUAGAUUACUUGAUCCACUGCACCAAUGAGAUGAACGUGAACAUCCCCCAGCUGGCAGACACGUUGUUUGAGAGGACGGCCAGCACCAGCUGGGUGGUGGUCUUCAAGUCUCUCACCGCCACCCACCACACCAUGGUCUACGGCAAUGAGAGAUUUAUACAGUACAUGGCUUCAAGGAAUACGCUUUUCAACCUCAGUAACUUUUUGGACAAAAGUGGCCUGCAAGGCUAUGACAUGUCAACGUUCAUAAGGAGAUAUAGUCGCUACCUGAAUGAGAAGGCUGUGUCGUAUCGACAAGUCGCUUUUGACUUUACAAAAGUUAAACGAGGGGCGGAUGGCGUUAUGAGAACCAUGAACACAGAAAAGUUACUAAAGACCAUACCGAUCAUCCAAAACCAGAUGGAUGCGCUACUUGACUUCAAUGUCAACGCCAACGAACUCACCAAUGGAGUGAUCAACGCGUCCUUCAUGCUUCUGUUUAAAGAUUCCAUUCGACUGUUUGCGGCCUACAAUGAAGGCAUUAUCAAUCUGCUGGAGAAGUACUUUGACAUGAAGAAAACUCAAUGCAAGGAGGGCCUUGACAUCUACAAGAAAUUCCUUACUCGAAUGACAAGAAUCUCUGAAUUCCUCAAAGUAGCAGAGCAAGUAGGGAUUGAUCGAGGGGACAUUCCAGACCUCUCCCAGGCCCCCAGUAGCCUCUUAGAUGCCUUGGAGCAGCAUUUGGCUUCUUUAGAAGGGAAGAAGGUGAAAGAUUCCACAGCAGCCAGCAGGGCUAGCACACUCUCCAACGCUGUCUCCUCUUUGGCCAACACGGGCAUAUCUUUCACCAAAGUGGACGAGAGGGAGAAACAGGCAGCUCUGGAGGAAGAGCAGGCUCGCCUAAAAGCGCUAAAGGAGCAGCGUCUGAAGGAACUCCAGAAGGGGCCUUCUUUCGCUGCCACCACAGCUGCCUCCCCUGUGUCAAUGGACGGUGGGACCAUCAACACAGCACCGGCCAUUGACCUCUUCUCCACGCCCAGCUUCGCAAACAGCACUUCCAAGGCGGCGAGCGACCUGCUGGACUUGCAGCCUGUGUUUCAGCAGCAGGCACUGCCCAUCUCCACUGGCCUGCCGACAGCCAACACAUGGGGAGAUCCUUUCACUUCUACAGAAGCUGUCGAUGACUCCAUUCCAAACUUUAACCCUUUCCUAUCACAUCCUGUUGUUGAUGCUGUCCAUCUACCUGUCGAAUCUUCCGAUGGUGUUAGUUCUAGGACACCCAGUCAUGAAAUGUUUGGUGAUCAUUACAAUCCCUUUAUUGAUUCGAACACCUCCAUUGCAUCUGAUCAUGAGCACACAGUGCGGAUAGAGCAGGUUAUCUCAGACUCCUUCUGUGGGCCAGCAUCUUACCCUACCACCCCUCUCUUUCAAUCUGAGCCCCCUGCUGUAGCUGGUCUAUUUGGAGGGUUCUCAGCUUCUCCCACCCCGCAGCCUCAGACCGCCAGAGGCCUUAAUGUCGACUUUGACUCUGUGUUUGGCAACAACGUGGACUCGGCUGGUGGCAUCCUCAAACCUACAGUGGCCUCCUUGCCCGGCCAGGGGCAAAUCCCCAGCGGGCAGCAGCCUGGGAAGCUGGUGUCCGACGACCUGGACUCGUCCUUGGCUAACCUUGUCGGCAAUUUGGGAAUUGGCAAUGGCGUGGCAAAAAAUGAUAUUCAUUGGAGUCAGCCUGGUGAGAAGAAGUUGACGGGUGGAAACAAUUGGCAACCAAAGACUGCUCCCUCUACCACAUGGAACCCUGCCACCAUGAACGGAAUGCAUUUCCCACAAUACGCACCAUCUGUCAUGGCCUUCCCUGCAACAACGCCGACGGGAAUGAUGGCAUAUGGAAUGCCUCCCCAGAUGGGUUCCAUGGGUAUAAUGACCCAGCCCACUAUAAUGUACAGCCAACCAGUCAUGAGGCCAGCCAACCCCUUUGGCACGGCCCCAGGAGCACAGGUGUUUGAUUUGGCCAAAAGUAUGUCCUGGAUGGAAGGCAUUUUUGAUCUAAGAAUAUGUCAUAUGUCCUGUUUUGUGCCUGGAGGACUUCUCAACUAGUCAUGACACAGGACCAGCGAUUAACUGAAUCGUGUCAAUGACCUUCCUUGAGGACACACUGCUGUCCUGAUCAAACACACAUCCGAGAACGCAAGUGCUGGAGAAAAUAUGAUAUCUACAAAGAUUGUUCUAUUAUAUUCUGGCCUACAUUUUGUGAAGCAGAUGCAGUUCAUGUAACUUAAAAAGGAGGCUUUUGCCCUCCGAAGACAAACCAUGAAGCAGCGAGACUAACUUUCAAGCAAAAAUCCAGUUAACUGUUAUACUCCUCGUCGAGAAUAUCAGCACAAAUAAGGACUCAAGGGGGGGAACCUUGUCCAAGAGGCGUCAAGUAUAGGACACGAAUCCCAUUUUGUAAUUGGUCUUCUGAGAAACAGUGUGCGCUGCCAUUCUAACCCCUCUACAGGGAUCACUCAUUCCAUUUGUCUUCUGUAAAAGAUACAAAUGGUUACGGAAAGGGAGACAUUUUGACUUUGCUGUUAUGUAUGGAAAAUAGUGGUUUAUCACAGAAUUGCUUGAUCCGAUCAUCAAUCGUACAUUAUCUAAUUGAACCAUAACUGAUUAGUAAAGCUAACCUCUGUUUAUACCAUGACUUUCAAAAGAAAUUGUAUUACGUUUGCAGUAGACAUUCCUUGUGCAUUGUUUGUAUUUAUUUAUACCCACGGAGGAUAUGACAUUGAACUCUUCAGGUGUAUACAUGGGUAUGAUUGGAUUUGUAUAAUUGGAGUUUGAGUGUGACUGAGUUAAAAAAAUAAAUUUAAAAAAAGUUAAUAUAAAGAUUGAAAAAUGUAACCGACUGAACCAGCAUAAUGUCAAGCACAGUUCUUAGUAGCUCAGUCACAACCCUGGGGUGAUAUUGGCAUAAAACAAGUUUAAUGAUUCAAUAGUCAAUUCUGUGAGCUUGGGUCUUUUUUUUUUCUUAAGGGAACAUUUUCACUCACUAGCAAAGCACUACAUUUGUGAUUUGCCGGCAUUGCGUUGGGAACGAUCCACAUUUUAUGCUUUACACUUGGCAUGUAAUUUAUUUUACAUGGAACUAUUCUAUGGCUGCCUUUCCAAAAUGAAUGUGCAGAGUGUCCUUCAUGCUCAGGCCAUCUUUACAUAGACCAGCAUCUGGGUUGGGGGAAAGGAGGUGGUCACAGGGGGCAGGGGAAAGAGCUGUGGAUGUCACUGGUCAGCUCUAAGUGUCAGAUCUAGGUUGAAAUACUAUUUGAAAUCUUUUAAAUACUUUGUUUGCUCUAGCUUGUCUAGAGUGCCAGAAGGGCUGGGUUAGCAGUUUUGGGACUAUUCUAUUGGUCUAUUAAGCCAUACAAGAUCACUCAAGCACAGAUAAAGUAUGUUAAAUGAAUGUCGGGUAAGUGGGCAGUAGGAUCCAGUUGAGCGGGGGGGGGGGAGAAAUGGAGCACUGUUGAUCGGUGCUUUGUGUAUAUAAAAUGGAUCAUUUCCAUCAUGGGGGUGGGUGGGACAUGUGCAGGAUGGUCAGAACAUGAAGGUUAUUCUAUUCAUCAAAUUAGCAUUUUAACUGCAUUGUACCUGCAGAUUUAUAUUUUUGUUUAUAUUAAAUAUAUAAAUAAAUGUAUGCAGGAUUUGGUAGAUUGUUUUUUUUUUUUUUUCAAUAAAGUGUUUUGCAACAGUA